GCCGGUGUGGCGGAAUUGGCAGACGCGAUCGACUCAAAAUCGAUUGUCCUUUGGACUUGUGGGUUCGACUCCCACCACCGGCA
rnacentral:tRNA from 1 species